rnacentral:rRNA from 1 species
UUUCCAUUAAUCAAGAACGAAAGUUAGAUGAGUGAAGGCGAUCAGAUACCGCCCUAGUUCUAACCAUAAACGAUGCCAGCCAGCGAUGCGGCUGCGUUCCUCAAAUGACGCGCCGUGCAGCUUCCGGGAAACCAAAGCUUUUGGGUUCCGGGGGAAGUAUGGUUGCAAAGCUGGAACUUGAAGGAAUUGACGGAAGGGCACAACAAGGAAUGGAGCCUGCGGCUUAAUUUGACUCAACACAGUGAAACCUACCCGGUCCGGACACAGGAAGGAUUGACAGAUUAAGAGCUCUUUCUUGAUUCUGUGGGAGGUGGCGCAUGGCCGUUCUUAGUUGGUGGAGCGAUUUGUCAGAUUAAUUUCGUUAACGAGCGAGACUCUAGCCUACUAAAUAGACGUUCCGAUUCUUUACGGUCGGACGUUCUUCUUAGAGGGACAAGCGGCGUCUAGCCGCGCGAGACUGAGCAAUAACAGGUCUGUGAUGCCCUUAGAUGUCCGGGGCCGCACGCGCGCUACAUUGAAGGAAUCAGCGUGUGCUUUCCCGGCCCGACAGGGUUGGGUAACCCGUUGAACCUCCUUCGUGCUGGGGAUAGGAAUUUGUAAUUAUUUUCCUUGAACGAGGAAUUCCUAGUAAGCACGAGUCAUCAGCUCGUGUUGAUUACGUCCCUGCCCUUUGUGCACACCGCCCGUCGCUACUACCGAUCGAGUGAUUUAGUGAGGUCUUCGGACUGGCGCUCGGAUUGGCCUCUUGGUCGAGCCGAAGUGGCCGGAAAGUUGACCGAACUUGAUUACUUAGAGGAAGUAAAAG